UAUAUUUAGGUGCUUAUAAGAGCUUAAUAGAGGAAGAGGAGUGAAAAUCUCCCACAGUUAAAACUGCUGUAAGGUGGACGAAAUCACAAGAAUGUCACUGGGAAACUGGGAAGGCGUGAGAGUAGAGUGAAACCAAGUCAGAAGACUUACCAAAUCGUA
rnacentral:ncRNA from 1 species